GGGGUUGUGGCUCAAUGGUAGAGCGCUUGCCUAGCGCGUGGGAGGCACUGGGUUCAAUCCUCAACACCA
rnacentral:tRNA from 1 species